rnacentral:rRNA from 1 species
UAAUUGAAGAGUUUGAUCAUGGCUCAGAUUGAACGCUGGCGGCAGGCCUAACACAUGCAAGUCGAGCGGUAACAGGAGGAAGCUUGCUUUCUUGCUGACGAGCGGCGGACGGGUGAGUAAUGUAUGGGGAUCUGCCCGAUAGAGGGGGAUAACUAC